UGGCAAGGAAGAUACUUUUUGUAAAUGAAUCAAUAUGAUUGCUCUGUACGCUAUUCUGAGCCAGUU